CAAGGGCUUUUGGAGCAGAAUUCCUUAAGCAGGAUACAAAAUGAUAGGAUUCUUUCUUACUUAGGUGCUUGUGAGUGUUUUUGGCUAUGCUUUUGAAUGCUACAAAGGAGUUGAAAACAAUAAGCCAGUAUUGGUAUGCUUAUAUCGAUUGUUUCUCCGUGCUUAACUUAUACUUGAUAACUUCUAGUAAAUAAUGAAACUUGAUAACUUAGUACCGCUGAAACUGAGGUACACCUGUUCCUUCAUUGUUAGUCUGCCUCUAGGAUUUGGUAUGCUAUAACAAGGUGGUUAGGAUUUUUGAACUCUACCACAUGUUUAUAAUCCUAAGGUCAAAGUAUGUGCAAUUUUAUUAAUGAUUGAUUUUCAAUAUUACUCAAUGAUGAUUGAUUUAGCCAUUGUAAUUGGGAUGUUAUAAUUGGCUUUGAGGUAUGAAUCAACCUAAGCCUUCUUUUGUGGCUUUGUGUAUGCAGAAGAGUAAGAAAUUUUCCAAAUUGUAGCAGCAUUUUAUCAAGACUUUCCAUAUGUUUCUUUGAAGAAAAUGUACUGUUAGUUAUUUAUAUAACAUAGAUUGUGGGAAGUUCAUUAAUUUAGCUAAUAUGUAUAGGUUCGUGUUGUUUUGUUAGUUUGGGCACUUACAAGAUUUAAAGAAGCAAUCUAUGCAGACCAAAAUCUAGCUUUAUCAAAUUGCAAUAUGUUGAAAUCAGAAAAAUCUAAAAGUGCACUUGACCAUGAUUUUGUCUUUUCCAUUUCAAUUAAGUGAUUAGCUUUUUAUAAUAUUUGUUUGCGCAGGUAUAUAUGCCCUUUGAAAUUUGAUACUGAAUAUGUGAUUCAGGUGCCUAUUUGUUCUUAACUUUUUUAGGUGAUUUAGUUAAUCAGUACAAGACACCAAGUUACCGGAGAAUUGGAGUCUGUCAAAGUAUUGUAACUGCUUCAAUUGAAGAUCCUAAUGGUUAUAAGUUUGAAAAGAAUGACUUGCGAACCUUAUGCAAAGUGAUGCUUCAAUUGAAGAUCCUAAAGGUUAUAAGUUUGAAGACACCAAGGGAUUUUAAUAAAUUGGGUUGAAGGACUAUGAUCAUGAGGUUCUGUUCACAUAUUCCAUCAUUUUCCAUGCCUAAUUAAUUUCUUAGCACCGCUGAAUUUUGUAUUUUACAAGUUGAACAAGGAAUGCUCUUUCUUUAAUAUAAUUUGACCCGCUCAAAAUUCUUCUUUUAUGGAAAUGGACACAAGAUAGAGGAAGUGGGAUAUUAUGUGUUGUUAUAUCUCUUACUAUUGUUAUAUCUUAGUAUUUUAGAGGCAUCUUGGCUCUAUGAUGUAGUUUUUGUAUUGUUAUAUCUUAGUAUUCACUGAUGACCCUUGCAAGCGUAGUAGUGAUAAUUUAUUGGUUAUCUUUUGGAUUGAUUAUGUAUUUUUGGAUAAGUAGA